rnacentral:rRNA from 1 species
CGAACGCUGGCGGCGUGCUUAACACAUGCAAGUCGAGCGGUAAGGCCCUUUCGGGGGUACACGAGCGGCGAACGGGUGAGUAACACGUGGGUGACCUGCCCUUAGCUCUGGGAUAAGCCUGGGAAACUGGGUCUAAUAACCGGAUAUGACUCCAUGACGCAUGUUGUGGGGUGGAAAGCCUUGUGCGGCUAGGGAUGGGCCCGCGGCCUAUCAGCUUGUUGGUGGGGUGAUGGCCACCAAGGCGACGACGGGUAGCCGGCCUGAGAGGGCGACCGGCCACACUGGGACUGAGACACGGCCCAGACUCCUACGGGAGGCAGCAGUGGGGAAUCUUGCGCAAUGGGCGAAAGCCUGACGCAGCGACGCCGCGUGAGGGAUGACGGCCUGGU